rnacentral:rRNA from 1 species
UACAGAGGGUGCGAGCGUUGUCCGGAAUUACUGGGCGUAAAGGGCGCGUAGGCGGCUUGGUAAGUCGGGGGGUGAAAGUCAGCGGCUCAACCGCUGGACUGCCUUCGAGACUGCCUGGCUUGAGCAUGGUAGAGGCUGGCGGAAUUCCCGGUGUAGCGGUGGAAUGCGUAGAGAUCGGGAAGAACAUCGGUGGCGAAGGCGGCCAGCUGGGCCAUUGCUGACGCUGAUGCGCGACAGCGUGGGGAGCAAACAGG